GCCACCUUAGCUCAGUUGGUAGAGCAGCACUUUCGUAAAGUGAAGGUCCCCAGUUCGAAUCUGGGAGGUGGCUCCA
rnacentral:tRNA from 1 species